AUAACACUGUAGGAGGUCUCUAUUUAAGAGUUUAUUACCAACUCUCAGUACAACAUCGUCUGUACUGUCAGCAGCAGUUACACUGUUACUUUGACACCUGGACAAAUAUGGAUGCACUGAAGCUGUACUUAAUUCUUCUUAUACCACUAACUGCAUGUUCACAAGAUUUGGGAGGAGAAACUGUUGUGAAAACAAUUGGGAAACAACCAGAUGUCACUCAAAUAUGCACCAAUGAAACACAGAACAUGAUCACACUGAUAGUUUGUACGAUCAGAACUCAGAGAAGUGGAGGAGGAUAUUGUAGUCUGCUGUAUGAACAUGCACGGGGCUUUGAACAGAAAUGUGACUCCAGGUUCACACUGAUGAAAGAAAAUCAGACUGUGUUUCUCCACCUGAUCAAUUUAACAUCAGAGGACAGUGGGAGCUACACCUGUCAGUGUACAACUCCUGGAAGAACAAAUAUUUUCCAUCUUAAUGUCACUGUGGAAGAACUAAGCAGCAGGUCUGGAACAGAAACAGUUCCUCUUACAUGGAUUUGUGUAACUGUGUUCAUCAUUGUGAACUUAGUUAUCUUUGGAUUUAUUCACGGACAACUGCGCCACAGUGGCUGUUCAAGGUCAGAAACAGCUGGACUAUCAGUGAAUGAGACUCACGGCUCUUUGGAUGAAGAUGUCCAAGAUGAUUCUUACACAAACCUUCAGCAUCCAACAAAUGAUGUCUACCAAACUAUCACCUCAGAUCACCCUCAGCAUGACAUCACUACAAAUUAAGAAUAUUAAGUGUCUGUUGUUGUGAUUAUUCAGCCAGAAGAACAGAAGCUGUCAGAAGCUGACAACGUUUAAACAUUUUGAAACAUGUAAAACUGCACAUGUACACAUGAGUAAUAUUGGUCUGAUAUAAAUAUUUUUGGAUUAUCAUUAUGACAAGACACCUCAUUUACUCUGGACACAUGUUUUAUAAUAACUGAGGUCAUUCAGUCUUAACACUCCAACUCUGUGAAACAGGUUCACAGAUGCGUCCUUUUGCAAAUACAAACUAACUGUGUCAAUAUGAAUCCUUGUGUUUUUGAAAGUUUAUGAAAACUAACAUUUCACCAUCGUCCGCUCUUAAUUCCAGACAUGAGUUUGUUUCUAAACUAAAACUAAACAGUUAAAAACAGAGAAAAACUCUUCCUGGGUUUUUCUUCUGUAUUCAUGUGUUUACUCACUGUUUUAACAUUUAAGGCAUCCAAACAUAUGAGAAUUUGAGGUGUAAAUUACUGAGGGGUGCAGGUC
ensembl:lncRNA